rnacentral:rRNA from 1 species
AACGAUGCAUAGCCGACCUGAGAGGGUGAUCGGCCACACUGGGACUGAGACACGGCCCAGACUCCUACGGGAGGCAGCAGUAGGGAAUCUUCCGCAAUGGACGAAAGUCUGACGGAGCAACGCCGCGGGUAUGAAGAAGGUUUUCGGAUCGUAAAGUACUGUUGUUAGAGAAGAACAAGGAUAAGAGUAACUGCUUGUCCCUUGACGGUAUCUAACCAGAAAGCCACGGCUAACUACGUGCCAGCAGCCGCGGUAAUACGUAGGUGGCAAGCGUUGUCCGGAUUUAUUGGGCGUAAAGCGCGCGCAGGCGGUCUUUUAAGUCUGAUGUGAAAGCCCCCGGCUUAACCGGGGAGGGUCAUUGGAAACUGGAAGACUGGAGUGCAGAAGAGGAGAGUGGAAUUCCACGUGUAGCGGUGAAAUGCGUAGAUAUGUGGAGGAACACCAGUGGCGAAGGCGACUCUCUGGUCUGUAACUGACGCUGAGGCGCGAAAGCGUGGGGAGCAAACAGGAUUAGAU